rnacentral:rRNA from 1 species
AUUGAACGCUGGCGGCGUGCUCAACACAUGCAAGUCGAGCGGUAACAGGUGUAGCAAUACAUGCUGACGAGCGGCGAACGGGUGAGUAAUGCUUCGGAAUCUUCCUCGUAGUGGGGAAUAACCUGGGGAAACUCAGGCUAAUACCGCAUACGAACUACGGUUGAAAGCAGGGGAUCGCAAGACCUUGCGCUAUGAGAUGAGCCGAAGUCGGAUUAGCUAGUUGGUAGGGUAACGGCCUACCAAGGCGACGAUCCGUAGCUGGUCUGAGAGGACGACCAGCCACACUGGGACUGAGACACGGCCCAGACUCCUACGGGAGGCAGCAGUGGGGAAUAUUGGACAAUGGGGGCAACCCUGAUCCAGCGACGCCGCGUGUGUGAAGAAGGCCUGCGGGUUGUAAAGCACUUUUAGUGGGGAUGAAAAGCCAAGGGUUAAUACCCUUUGGUCUUGACCUAACCCAAAGAAAAAGCACCGGCUAACUCUGUGCCAGCCGCCGCAGUAA